UACAGAGGUCUCGAGCGUUGUUCGGAUUCAUUGGGCGUAAAGGGCGCGUAGGCGGCGGGGUAAGUCUGGUGUGAAAUCUCGGAGCUCAACUCCGAAAUUGCACUGGAUACUGCUCUGCUAGAGGGCUGGAGAGGAGAUCGGAAUUCACGGUGUAGCAGUGAAAUGCGUAGAUAUCAGGAGGAACACCAAUGGCGAAGGCAGCUCGCUGGGACGUUACUGACGCUGAGACGCGAAAGCGUGGGGAGCAAACAGG
rnacentral:rRNA from 1 species